rnacentral:miRNA from 1 species
AAUAAGUUCCUGGAAUUGUAGC